GUAUGGUAACAAUUAAAUAGUCACUAGUAACAUACCUAUAUUACAGUAUAUUGCUUUCUAAAUUGCCUUCUGCGGAAAAAAAUAUCACUGCUAUUAGAAUAAUUUGGUGUAAAGGAAGUGCAGGCAUGCAUUUGAUACUUCUCAGAGGGCUUGACUUUAAUUAAUUUAUUCUUUCAAAUUGAUUGUGAGUCACUUGAAAAUUCAUUCCGUUCCCUGAGAGUAUGAACAGGCACUUCUUGGAAAUCCAUGAUGAACUUCUCCUCUGAUGCAGAAAGGCUGAGACCCAAGAAAAAGCCCCAAACUCCUGUAAAGAGGAGCACAAAUCAAAGCCUUCAGCUUUGCAAACUUCCAGUUGCAACACAACCCUCCUCAGUUAUCAGCACCAGUCUAGGAGAGGGAUGAUCCUCCCUGGCUGUGUGUCUGUCCACUGAUUACAGGAGACGCCUGGCUGAGACUCAGUCCUAUAAAUACAGCUGGGAUGAGUCCAAUCCCAAGAGACUAAGCCAUAAACUCUACCAAAUUACCCACAUAUUCAGGGAGGGUUUGGAAAACCCAACACCACUGCAGCUUGGCUCAGCACUGUGCUCACCGCUGUGACUCAUGUUGGGUGUGCCAGAAAAGCCUUGCAGGGGGCACAGCGGGCAAAUGCUCCUUGCAGUGAGUAACAGACACCUGUUGGGCUCUGCCUGACCUUCCAAAACGGGACCUCUCCUGAUAAACCAAACAGGCAUUCAUUCCCCUUCCCUGUUCAUCCCCCAGAAUGAGGAGUGGAGUUUAUUUAUCACCGAGUUUGGUGACCAGCUUUCUGUCCUAUUAUCUGUCUCAUUAUUGAGAGGAGGCUGGGGAGGUAAGUGGUUGUGAGACAACUGUGACACAGAGCACGUAUCUUUUCUCCCAGUAUAGAGAAAAAGGACUUCCCAGAAUGAGAGUUAAAAAUAGCUGGUUUGCCUUAGAGGGUGUAUUCACUUUGAAACACAGAAAACAAGUUUAAACUGCCAUCUCUAAUAUGACAGGCACCUUUAGCAGCCUGCUCUCUGCCAAAAUACCUAAAUCCCAGCUCUUUCUUCUCCUUAAAUUUUUUACCAUUUCAAAUUGUAGAUGCUUUUCAGAAUGUUAUGAGAAGCUCUGGUGGAGAGAGGGCAGAGGCAACCGUCUAAGUUCCAUUAAAAUCAGCCUUUUUUUCAGACCAAAUAAAAUCUUCAAGGUUAUUUCUUAAAAUCUACUGCAGUCCUGCCUUUAUGCCCACAUUUCUUGUACCAGUGGUGCUUCAGCUCCCCAGCAUCCUCCUUUAGCCCUGCUCAGUGCCUGUCUCCCAGGUGGACUGGAGGCUGGCCAUAUUCCACCCUGGGCUGAGAUGACUGAACAGUCUGGUUUGGGUAUCACCAUCAGCAAGGCAGCUUGAUGCUUUCAGAGCAAAGUGUAUCCUUUCAAACACAGUAUUUUUUUUUUUUGCCAGUGAAGGUAAUGAACCAGUUUGGAAAACUUACCAGGGGAAGUGUUAGAUUCUCUGUCACAUGAAGUUAUUACAUCAAGCCAGUGGCUUUCUAAAGUACCUUCACUUGGUAAAGGAUGUGUGUUCAGAAUACCAAAGCUUUGAAUGCAUAGGUUACAGUGGAUGGCUUUAAUGAUCUCUUCUGACUGUAAAAUUCUAGGAAUCCAACAUCAUUGCUUAUGGGCUUCUUUACACCAAAGAUCUGCUUGACUCUUCUGGGAAUACAUUAAAGCUUAAAAGCUCGCCAAGCUGAGAAAACAACCGUGAUAUUUCCAGCUGCUUUUCCCAGAAUGUUACAUUAAUCCUUCCCCUGGCCCUGAGCAAGCCUUGCCACUUUUCUUUUGAGCAGCUUGACAAAGGAGCACGAUUGGACUGCUCCUCUUUGUGGCUUUGUAAGGGCUCCCCUCUCCCCAUAAAUUCGUUUUCAGGUAUUGCAAAACCACCAAAGGAUUUGGGAAGCUUUCCUUGCUGUUCCCUGACACGGGUAUAAGCGUUUCUUCUAAGUCUGGAAGCCAGCCCCACAAUUCCCAUUGAUGACCAAGCAGAGCCGGCCAGCAGAUUUUAAGUGACAGCCAAAAUAAGAACCACUUGGAACGUCAUUCAUCAUAAAGCUGAAAAACUAGCAAUGUCCCACACUUCCCCUGUAUGCUGAAGUGACAAACAGGAGCCAGGGUUUGCUGUCCAGCUGGCAAGGAUGGGACCUGGCUGAACACCCCCUCUCCACCCCCAGAACAAGCCCACCAGGGCACCCGAGAAACGUGAGCAAUUCUGCGCCGUGCUGAUGAAGUUCUUAAGUGUCACCCAAGCUGAACUGCAAAACACGGCUGCCUGCCCUAGUUAUCAAAUGACCUGAAAUUCAGCACGAUCAUCUGCCAUAACAGCUGCUUCCCUGACAAUGAGAGAAACUCCUGCCUGGCUGCUGAACCAGAGCCAGCAGCGGGAGCCCAGGACCCACACACACAGCCUCCCACACCGAGAUGCUGCUCCCAUCCCCCUGCACGGCUCGGCCUCAAAAUGUCUUGUGUUCUUCGAAUUCUGCAGGCUGACUCCUUCCUCUACGGAUUUAUUUUGCAUCUGUAUCAUUAAAAAGAGAUUUCAGAGACCUGGUACUUCAAAGAGGGGGGAAAAUAAUGAAACAUCCUUCCCAAGGAAUUAAAAUGAAGAAAUGAAGAGUGAAAGCUGUUGUUGAAGACCAGCCCCUCAGCUGGAACUCAAAUCUUACUCCAUUGAACCCAAUGGACAUAAUUUCAAAUGUGAUCUAGAAGAUAAUGUUUUCUGUGUGGAUCUGUCCUCUUGGCUAAAUAAAUUUUCCCAUUCCCUAGCUGAAAUAGGAAAUGAGGACUGCACAUGUUCAUGGUGUUCUGUGUCUCAGUCCUAGAGAGUCCAACAGGUUCACACUGCUAAUGUUGUGCCUAAGAAGCAUCUGUCUGAUUUUCACACAUGUAACUGGUUGUAGCUGUUGCUAGAGCUCAUAUGUGCAUGAGCAGGAACAAAGGACUGAACAUAUGCUUUAUUCCCUGUGUUUACUUCAAGGUAGGCUGCAGUCCUUUCUGUAAGUGUGAAUAUAACCAUGAAUAUUUGAUUAGGGACACACAGAAAGAAUCUGAAAUCAUAUGGCACCAAGGCUUUAGCUGAAGUAUGCACGAACAAGCAACGUAGCUAAUAUUAAAUGUAUGCUUCUCUUUUUCUUGCUCUGCAGCCUAGUCUGCACAUCAACGUGAAUUAAACAAAUUGAAACCCACAUUGAGCAGCAUCAGAUCUAAUUGCAGUGCAAAAUGCUUCCCUAAUGAAUUUCAGUUUUCAUAUUUUCUCCUACAAGUAGUGUUAUCAUGCUAUUGAAUAAAAGCAGUUUGCUAAUGCAUAUGGAUAUAUGUGGGUAUAUAGGGCUAAUAUAGGGCUGAUUAAUAUUAAGCCAGUUAUUUUGGAAUUUCAGUUUUCAUAUUUUCUCUUACAAGCAGUGUUAUCAUGCUAUUGAAUAAAAGCAGUUUACUAAUGCAUAUGGAUAUAUGUGGGUAUAUAGGGCUAAUAUAGGGCUAAUUAAUAUUAAGCCAGUUAUUUUGGCUAAUUUAUGAGAAAAGAUUAUAGAAAUAAACAUUUUUAGCUGUAUUAAUUUUACUUGUGGGAUACUGUCAAUAAUGCCUUUAUUUUCUUUUUCGUUGCUGUUUGCCAAGUGCUGACAAAUGCAUGAAUGGAAUUACUCCCAGUCCUGGACAGAUCCUAAUCUAGGCACAGCAUUGAUAAGUAAGUCUUGAUCUCCUAAGGGAGUCUGGGAGAUGGGAGUCCCUUAGCGAGGCAGGGACACCCUCCAGCCUUACUCCACUAGCUGAGAUCUCCCAUCAGCCAGAUGGGGAGGAAGAGGAGCACUGCUAACCCCAAGCCUUGCAGUGUCCUGAGCCUUGAUCUGUGAGACAGACACACAAAAUACACCAUGGAUGGCUCAGUGAAAACAAAAACCAGGAGCCUUCCCACUAGGACUGGCUGAGUGCUUUUGCAACCAGAGCAGAAUUCCUGUCUCUACCAAAAGCUUUGCUUUUAUCUCAUGGAAUAAUGCAGUGGUUAACACACCUUGUUUAAUAGUCAUGUGGAUGCCUGAUUUGGGAUGAUAGGCUUCAAGUGGCAGGUAGAUCCAAUUCUGCAAAGUGCUGAGCUCUGCACAGGAGAUGCCAGCUCGCUGCCUCUCCUGGCUUUACAAGGAGCCAAGAGCACAUUCCUGAAGUGUGUUCAAGUCAGCACCUCCUGUAUCAGUUUCCACCACAUGUCCUCCUUGCCAUUCAGCUUAAUUGUAUCUGGAAUUUUUCUAAAAUCUGGAGGAUGCUCCUCAAGAGCCUUUUCUUAAGCCCCUCUUUCAUUCAUUAGCUGUGCCAGAGCAGGGGCAGAACAGUUGAUAUUGGACAAUUUAAAGCAUCCUGAAGGUUUAUAUUACAUUUGCACCUUCUUGGGCCAUUUUCUAGACCCUUUCUUUCAUAGAUGAAGCCAAAUCAGCAUAAUUUUGGCUUAGGAAAUUUCAAAAAAGGCUUUUUUAGGCUGGCAAUAAUAGUACCAGUAAGUUUAUCAUAAAGCUUCCUACAGCAAAAUCCUAUUCAGCCACACACAAUCUUAAAAGUGUUGCUCUGAGAACUACAGACAGACUUCUUGGGAAAUGCCAGAGGAGGUGUUUGCCUUUCAGCUGUAAUGCAACAGACAGCUAAUUAAAUGCUUUGCUAAUAAUAGUAUCCUGUGCAUGAGGAGAUAAGCUCAAUUACUUAUUGAAUUUAAGUGGAGUUUUGCAGACAUGCUGGCAUAUUCCUGGUAGCUAAACCAACUUUUUUUAGCAAUACAAUUCGCUCUCCUUUAUAUUUCUCUCGUUUAGAUGUAUCAUUAAUGAACAUAAAAUGUCACUGAUGGAAGAAAUAAACAAAUCUGACAUUUCUUAGCUAAAGAUCCAUUACUACGUAAAAAAAUAACCAUCAACUCAAUACAAUAAUGUCAGACAUGUAUCACAAAAAACCCUCAAGGGAAGUCAGUGGAAAUCCCCUACUGACUUAAGGCAAAAUUAGACAAAAUCUAAGACUGUUGUCAUCAAAAUACAUUUGCAUGUAAUCCAUGGACCACACAAUGCUGUGAAAUUCAGUACUUUCAGCACAUAAUCAUCAACCCUUUUACAGUGAGCAGGAAAAAUGGAAUGCUCUUUGCUUCCCAGAUUCUUUGGGAAACACAUAGUUCCCAAGUGUCACAACUCUUCUUAGAUUAAGACACUGGACUUUUUACUCUUCACACUCCAUACUCUCAGCUCAGCAGUGAUUUGGAGCUAGAGUGCACAGCCUAAAUUAAAAGAAAAAUUAUUGUUAAUGUAGCAAUAAUGCCAUUUGUUUCAUUAGGGCAUGCCUACCAACUCAGCAGGGCCAUGCAAGAGAACUAUUAACACAGUGCCAUGAUCAAGGGAGGGGAUUCUUCCCCUCUACUCUGCCCUUGUGAGAUUCCACCUGAAGUACUGAGUCCAGCCCUGGAGUCCUCAGCACAUGGAAAACAUGGACCUGUUGGAGUGAGUCCAGAGGAAGCCCCCAAAGAUGAUCAGAGGGCUGGAGCACCUGUCCAAGAAAGACACUUUGAGAGAGUUGGGGUUGUUUAGCCUGGGGAAGAGAAGGCUCUGGGGAAAAUUUAAAGCACGUUCUAAAAUGAGCCUACAAGAAAGAGGGACAAGUGGUUCAUGAUGGGAAAGGCACCCUGGAACAAGGGUCUGGUCACAUGGGGAGGUCUCCAUCCUUGGUGAUUCUCAAAGCUCAUUGGAUCAAGGCACUGAGCAACCAGACCAAAUUUUGAAUUUAGCCCUGCUUUAAAUAGGUGCUUGGACUUGAUGUUCUCCAGAGAUCCCUAAAUAACUCUGCCUGAAGACACUGGGGAAAUUAAGGAAGCAGGUAUCACUGUCCACAGUAUAUGGAGAGCAAAUAAAGGAACUUCAUCUGACCAUGGUUUUUAUUGCAAAAUGACUUCUCUAUUAAUGGCAUGGGGUCCACUAAGCAGCUUCUAGAUCUUAAUUAAGGUAAUUAUUUCAAAGAUAAUUCACAUUUAAUACCUAAGUAUACUUUAUAAUCUCCUAAGUGCUUCCCUGAAUUUGAGCUCUGCUAUAACAGAUGACCUUGUAUGAAACAAGGAACCAAAAAGCAGAAGAAGGAUGCUGACUUAGUAUUAAAAUUCCCCACAGCUCCGAGCCUCUACAAGACACAAUGCUAUUCUACACACUACAGCAAAAUAGUCCAAGCCAAAAGAUUUAUGUUCAUUUAAUAAUAAAUAAUUUAAUGAGACUGUGAGAACUCAGGAACUUUGGCCUUGAACAGUGCAGGCUUCAAAAUUUCCAAGUGAGGUUAAGUGAGCUAAAUGAUGACAACUCCUCCAGUGCUACUCUACUCAUUCUGUGUCAAGGAAGAGUUGUUCUAAGUUGUGAUUUCUCUUGUAAUUAAAAGGGCGGGGGGUGGGAGGAGUGCUACAGACAAGGGCCUGUGUUUCAAAAUUAAAACAGUCAGUGGCUUAAUGGAACUUGACUUUGAGCUGCACAAAUAAACAGAGCUACAGCUUCUUGCAGAAUUUAGGAGAAUGCCCUGAGCACAUGAAAUGUGGUGGUUACCACAGAAAUUUACAUACAGUCACACAUCAGACAAAUCCCAAAACUCUUUUCCGGUUUAAACUCCCGUUGAAAACACAGGAUCAGGUACAAAGAACAAACCUCUCAUCCACUCAUUAUUCAUGCCAUUCCACAGGGGUCAGCUCAUGCCGUGUGAUGAGGGCCCCUCCUCAGCACAGGGUUUACAGUCUGGGAGCAGCUGGCUGCUGCGCUCCUCUGUUUUCCCUGUUAAAAAUGUGUGUGUGUCUGGGGAGUAGUGCAGAGCAAACCUCCUUCCUCUAAGGGAUGUGACUGAAUACAACACAGAGCUGCUCCUUCUACCCCUGCCACCUCUGUGCAUGGCAUCCUGUUCCCUGGUGCUGCACACUCCUGCAGCUCCCGUGAACCUGUGUACUGCACUGCUAUCUCCAGGAGCCAGCACUGCUCACUGCAUCAGCCACCUGGCAUGGCAAGAUCAACUGCUGGUGCCUGCCUGGAUGCCCAGAGUGCCCAGCCUUGCCCAAGCCCUGCCUUGUCUGGGGGCCAGGUGUGACCAGCUAUGAGCAUCCCUGCCCAAACAGGUGUGUACCAGGUCUGACUGGCAUGGGGAUGAUUUUCUUCAUAGCAUCUCAUAGCAUGGGGUGACGUGCUUUGAGUUUGUGUCUAAAACAGUGAUGCUCAAGACACCAAAGUGUGUUAUACUCCUUUCCAAUUCCCCAAAUUAGGAAAGAGGAGGGAAAACUAGGAAUAUUAGGAAAAGGGCAGAAGGUGGGGAGCAGCUGCCAGGGUGAAAUGGUAGAGGGACCUUCUUGCCCUGCACCACUCCCCUUCCAUGUCCUCCCUGCUGACUGUGGGUAAGCUUGCUGCCUGUUUGGAGGUGAACUGAGGAUGAGGUAAGCACGUGCCUGCUCAUGGAAGGGACACAGGCUCUAGGGCCAAGAAUGGUGACAGCCAAGGCAGCAGGAAUCCACCACCUCCACUAGCAGGUGAUGAUGUUCCACUCCUUUGGGUUGUCUGGGAGCCUGCCUGGAUGUAUCACUGGCAUUGCUGGAGCCCAGGCAGCUCAGCCCUGAAACCCCCAAGCAGCCCUGCAAGAGCUCAGAGAGGGUUCCUGCGAAAGACUCUGACUCAGGGACAACAAAAGAAGAAAGAGUCAAUACAUCUGGACAUGCUCUGAAAGGAUGAAAAGGAAAAAAAGAAAAAACAAAGAUGUUCUCAGGUCUGUGGCCAGAGGGAAAGUAAGGAGCAAAAGGGUGAAUGAGUCACGGCUCUCAGCUGCCAGAGCCAUUAAUAGGAUGGGUGAGGGGUCGCACUGGAGAGAGUGCCUGGGUGCUGCAGAUGGGAACUGUGGCUGCACUCAGCUCUCUCUCAAGGGCAUCCUUCCUGGAGGUCUUCCUUCCUGGUGGAUAAACAUGCUGCACAGAGCUGUCAUGCUGGAGCUUGACAUCCUGAAGAAUAAACAGAGAUGCCUUUGGCUAGAGAUGGGAAUGACAAGAAAUAUCGAACGACAAGGAAAGGCAGAAUCAGAAGUUCCCUUGAUGAUAAAGGUCUUUCCGUGUCAGAGAUCACACUCUCCUCAGCAACACCCACAACUGCUGAGGCUCCAAUUUCACUUUCAAUAAAACACUUUCAUAAACUACUUCAUACCUGUGAUAAUGCAACCGUAACCUGAAUGGCCCAGCUCAUGGCAGGAGUGUGCUCUACAGACCUGCUGGAGACAAGGCUUGUCUCCUUCCUGCCCCGGGUGUUUAGGAAAUCUGGGACAGAAAUUGGCACCUCAGUGAGUCCUCUCCAGCCUCCUGAUGCCAACACUUUGCUCUUCUGCACUGCAGUACUGCAAUGCCACGUGGGAUCCUAGCUGGACAAGUGGGCAAGCACAUGCUCAAACAUAAACCUCUGAGCCAUCACUUUUGACAGCUGGACUGGUCAUGGCCAAGCACCAUCAGCUGCAGGCUGAACCUGGGCUGCAGGGAACAGGGAACAGACAGAAGUGGUGCAUUGUAGCAGCAGACCUGCAGGAAUCAUUAUGUUGUGUUCCCACUGUAACAGUUGAAAAUAAUUAAUUUUCAGAAUAUGAAUUUGUGAAAGACUCUGUGCUGCUUCUGUGCCAAUGCACAAGGUGUUCUGUCAGACUUUCUCCACCUGCUAUCUCUUAGUGUCCUAAAAAAGGAUGAAAUGAAAACAGAUUUUUUUUUUUCCAUCAGGAUCUUUAUAGUUCACGUGGAAUUUUCUAGUAUCACUUAGCAAAUUAAAUUAUGCUUCACAGAAUCACAGAAUUUCUAGGUUGGAAGAGACCUUUAAGAUCAUCGAGUCCUUCCCCCCCAAGCCCUCCUCCAAGUGUGAAUUUUAAUCAAAAUAAAUCUUGGCAAAAUAAUAAACCUGUUUAAAUGCUGUAUUUUUUCCUGAAAUAUCUAGUGUUUCAUGCAGUGCUUUUAGGAUGAUUGCACUGAAAGACUGGAAACCAAAACCUAUCCUUUCCUCAUUGAAAAGGUUUGAUUUGGACCAGCUGCAUACAUUUCUGGUUCCUGACUAGCUGAUGUACGUUGCUUAUGUUUUCCACAACAAAUAAAAAAAUAAAAAUCAAU